rnacentral:rRNA from 1 species
CCUGGGGCUGUAGUCGGUCCCAAGGGUUGGGCUGUUCGCCCAUUAAAGCGGUACGCGAGCUGGGUUCAGAACGUCGUGAGACAGUUCGGUCCCUAUCCGUCGCGGGCGCAGGAAAUUUGAGAGGAGCUGUCCUUAGUACGAGAGGACCGGGAUGGACGCACCGCUGGUGUACCAGUUGUCCCGCCAGGGGCACCGCUGGGUAGCUAUGUGCGGAAGGGAUAAGCGCUGAAAGCAUCUAAGCGUGAAGCCCCCCUCAAGAUGAGAUUUCCCAUCGCGUCAAGCGAGUAAGAUCCCUCGAAGAUGACGAGGUCGAUAGGUCCGAGGUGGAAGCGUGGCGACACGUGGAGCUGACGGAUACUAAUCGAUCGAGGGCUUAACCAC